CGGAGGGAUGCUGCAACUGCCUUGCUCCUGUGGCUUGCUCAGCCUGUUUUGUCUACUUUCUUACAGAACCACAACAGAGACUGGGCAUCACUACUGGUUGGAGGAGCACACAUUACGGCGGCGAGCACGGAGGUUUCAUCACCGAGGUGCAGAACUCAAAGAAAGGUGGAGGAAGUGAGCCAACUCCACGAAGUCAUCUUCCAACUUCCUCAUGGACACUCUGAUGACACACAUCCAUAAAUACACAGCAGCAAUAAAUAACUAAUUUAAAUAAGAAGAAGAUGAAGGAGGAGGGAAAACUUGCACAGUGAUUUUCAAGAGUUAAGACAUCCCCGCUGCCUCGAGGCAGGCCAUUGCCCACCACCAACAGGAGGUCACUGAGACUAAAGCAGCCAUAAAACCAAGCCUGCCUGGAUGCCUGGACCCACUGUGUUUUCUUUCCUAUUUUCCCCUCUCAGUGCUGGGAAUGGAAAUCGGGGUGUCUGGUCCCUAAGCAAGUGCUCAAGCCCAGCCCUAGGAUCUGAAGCAGUUCUGCUCCUGUAUUACUAAGAAGAACACGUUUGUCCUAAAUGCCUGGCUCUCCCUCGCUGCGAAUGCUCCAGUUUCCAUCCCCCCACGGCAAGCCUGCUUUAUCUUUUAAGAACUGAGUUCCAUGCAAGAUUGCAUUUAAAAAUAAAAACAGUUUUAGGAAAAGGGGAAAAGGCUCAUCCAAAGAAAAUGACAACUUCUAUUCGGAGCCCAAAUCCCCAUCGACCUCAGGACUGUUUAUGUUGUAGUAUUUUCAGGGGUUCACAAUGGCUCUCCGCUUAGCCAGCUAUGGGCACGCUCAUAAACUUUGUCCCAGCUGGGGUGGUGGCACAUGCUUUUAAUCCCAA